rnacentral:rRNA from 1 species
AUGCUCGCAAGACAGUGUUGGAGGCUUAUUGAGAACUUUGACUCCUUGUGUGCACGAGUUUUAAGGGCAAAGUACUAUCCUUCAGGUGACAUUCUAAACAGCGAGUUAAAAAAGGGCUCAUCUUAUGUGUGGCAAAGUAUAUGGGCUGGGGUACAAACCUUCAAGAAAGGUUAUAUUUGGAGGGUAGGGGAUGGAGCAAAGAUCCAUAUUUGGAACGAUUGUUGGAUUCCCAACAGUUCUAAUAGGAGGAUCAUCACUACCAGAGGUAACCGAGUUCUUACGAUGGUCAGUGAGCUUAUUGAUCCAGCCACGAGGGAGUGGGAUGAGCAGCUUAUAAGAGAUAAUUUUUGGCCCAUAGAUGCUGACAGAAUUCUUCAGAUUCCUAUCUUUCAUCAGUUAACGGAGGACUUUGUGGUGUGGCAUUUAACAAAGAAUGGGAGAUUCAGUGUAAGGUCGGCUUAUUAUAAACAGUGGGAGGACACAUAUAUUAACGGAAAUUCUACUAUGUUUGGCAUAGGAGGAUCAUCGCCACACCCAAUAUGGAAGAAGUUAUGGAGUCUAAAAGUACCAGGAAAAGUGAAGGUUUUCCUGUGGAGAUGCUUACACAAUGCGAUCCCUUGUUUCUGUGUGUUGGCAAACCGUCGCAUUGGGAACAUCUCUCAGUGCCCUAUAUGCAAACAAAGUGCAGAAGAUAUUUGCCAUGCUUUAUUUAAGUGCCCAAGAGCAAAGAUGGUUUGGGAUGCCCUCGGGUUGUAUGAGGCCAUUGGG